rnacentral:rRNA from 1 species
UACGUAGGGGGCGAGCGUUGUCCGGAUUUAUUGGGCGUAAAGAGCUCGUAGGCGGUCUGUUGCGUCGGCUGUGAAAACCCGGGGCUCAACCCCGGGCCUGCAGCCGAUACGGGCAGACUAGAGUUCGGCAGGGGAGACUGGAAUUCCUGGUGUAGCGGUGAAAUGCGCAGAUAUCAGGAGGAACACCGGUGGCGAAGGCGGGUCUCUGGGCCGAUACUGACGCUGAGGAGCGAAAGCGUGGGGAGCGAACAGG